AACGAACGCUGGCGGCGUGGAUUAGGCAUGCAAGUCGAGCGGUAACAGGUUGCCCGCAAGGGUGAUGCUGACGAGCGGCGAACGGGUGAGCAAUACAUGAACAAUCUGCCCUGAAGCUUGGAAUAGCGUCUGGAAACGGACGGUAAUACUGGAUGUGGUCGCCUUCCGCAUGGAAGGUUGUCUAAAGCCGGGGACCGCAAGGCCUGGCACUUCGGGAUGAGUUCAUGUCCUAUCAGCUAGUUGGCGGGGUAACGGCCCACCAAGGCUAAGACGGGUAGCUGGUCUGAGAGGAUGGUCAGCCACAUUGGGACUGAGAUACUGCCCAGACUCCUACGGGAGGCUGCAGUCGAGGAUAUUUCACAAUGCGCGAAAGCGUGAUGAUGCGACGCCGCGUGGAGGACGAAGGCCUUCGGGUUGUAAACUCCUGUCGUGAGGGAGCAAGUGGGUCUUGCCUAACACGCAAGGCUCUUGAUGGUACCUCAGGAGGAAGCCACGGCAAACUCUGUG
rnacentral:rRNA from 1 species